rnacentral:rRNA from 1 species
GUGGGGAAUAUUGCGCAAUGGGGGAAACCCUGACGCAGCGACGCCGCGUGAGCGAAGAAGGCCUUAGGGUUGUAAAGCUCUGUUUUAAGGGACGAAUGUCGUGGGGAGUAAUAUGCUCUGCGAAUGACGGUACCUUAAGAGGAAGCCCCGGCUAACUACGUGCCAGCAGCCGCGGUAAGACGUAGGGGGCGAGCGUUGUCCGGAAUUACUGGGCGUAAAGAGCACGUAGGCGGGAACUUAAGUCAGGUGUGAAAGACCGGGGCUCAACUCCGGGGUUGCACUUGAAACUGGGUUUCUUGAGGGCAGGAGAGGAAAGCAGAAUUCCUGGUGUAGCGGUGAAAUGCGUAGAAAUCAGGAGGAAUACCAGUGGCGAAGGCGGCUUUCUGGACUGACCCUGACGCUGAGGUGCGAAAGCGUGGGUAGCAAACAGGAUUAGAAACCCCGGUAGUCC